AUACCAUGGUGCGGGCAUAUAACCAGAAUCCCUUUGAAUCGUUCCCAGGUUUCAUGAGUAUCUCCAUUGGUCUCUGUUUGAAACUCAAAAUUUCAUCAAUUUGUUG
rnacentral:snoRNA from 1 species